GCCUUCGUGGUGUAAUGGUAGCAUAAUUGGCGUGUAUUCAAGAGGUCCAGGUCCGAGUCCUGACGAGGGCA
rnacentral:tRNA from 1 species